UGGUUUUCUCUUUGGUCUUCCAGA
rnacentral:miRNA from 8 species